AGAGGAGUGGCAGAGUGGUCGAAUGCGGCGGUCUUGAAAACCGUUGUACCGCAAGGUACCGGGGGUUCGAAUCCCUCCUCCUCUGCAA
rnacentral:tRNA from 5 species